AUGUGCGGCAUACUGGCGGUGCUGGGGUGCGGCGACGAGUCGCAGGGGAAGAGGGUCCACGUCCUCGAGCUCUCUCGCAGGCUCAAGCACCGCGGCCCGGACUGGAGCGGCCUGCACCAGGUCGCCGACAACUACCUAUGCCACCAGCGCCUGGCCAUCAUCGACCCGGCCUCCGGCGACCAGCCGCUCUACAACGAGGACAAGUCCGUCUCCGUCGCCGUGAACGGGGAGAUUUACAACCAUGAGGAGCUCCGGGCACGGCUCUCCGGCCACAGGUUCCGGACCGGCAGUGACUGCGAGGUCAUCGCCCAUCUGUAUGAGGAAUACGGAGAAAGAUUCAUUGACAUGUUGGAUGGUGUUUUCUCCUUCGUGUUGCUUGACGCACGAGAUAAGAGCUUCAUUGCUGCUCGUGAUGCCAUUGGUGUCACGCCUCUCUACAUUGGCUGGGGAAUUGAUGGUUCAGUGUGGAUAUCUUCGGAGAUGAAAGGACUAAACGAUGAUUGUGAGCACUUCGAGAUCUUCCCGCCUGGUAAUCUUUACUCCAGCAAAGAAAAGUGCUUCAAGAGAUGGUAUAACCCUCCUUGGUUCUCUGAGGUCAUCCCCUCGGUUCCCUAUGACCCACUGCGUCUCAGAUCGGCAUUUGAAAAGGCUGUAAUCAAGAGGCUCAUGACAGAUGUUCCAUUUGGUGUCCUCCUCUCCGGUGGCCUCGACUCAUCACUGGUGGCGGCUGUCGCAGCCCGUCAUUUCGCAGGGACAAAGGCUGCAAAGCGCUGGGGAACUAGGCUCCACUCCUUCUGUGUUGGGCUUGAGGGCUCACCGGAUCUCAAGGCUGCAAAGGAGGUCGCGGAUCACCUGGGUACCGUGCACCAUGAGUUCAACUUCACAGUUCAGGACGGCAUCGAUGCAAUUGAAGAUGUGAUAUAUCACAUUGAGACAUAUGAUGUGACGACGAUCAGGGCAAGCACAUUGAUGUUCCAGAUGUCACGCAAGAUCAAGGCGCUUGGUGUCAAGAUGGUCAUCUCUGGUGAGGGUGCCGACGAAAUCUUUGGAGGGUACUUGUAUUUCCACAAGGCCCCUAACAAGGAGGAGUUCCACCAGGAAACAUGUCGGAAGAUUAAAGCUCUCCAUCAGUACGAUUGCUUGAGGGCUAACAAAGCAACAUCUGCAUGGGGCCUUGAGGUUCGUGUGCCAUUCUUGGACAAGGAGUUCAUCGAUGAGGCUAUGAGCAUAGAUCCCGAAUGGAAGAUGAUCCGGCCUGAUCUUGGAAGAAUUGAGAAAUGGAUACUGAGGAAAGCGUUCGAUGAUGAGGAGCAACCCUUCCUGCCGAAGCAUAUUCUGUACAGGCAGAAGGAGCAGUUUAGUGAUGGUGUUGGGUAUAGCUGGAUUGAUGGCCUGAAGGAUCAUGCAGCAUCAAAUGUGAGUGAUAAGAUGAUGUCCAAUGCAAAGUUCAUCUACCCACACAACACCCCAACAACUAAAGAGGCCUACUAUUACAGGAUGAUCUUCGAGAGGUACUUCCCCCAGAGCUCGGCCAUCCUGACGGUGCCAGGCGGGCCAAGCGUGGCGUGCAGCACAGCCAAGGCUAUAGAGUGGGAUGCCCAGUGGUCUGGAAACCUGGACCCCUCUGGGAGAGCAGCGCUUGGAGUCCAUCUCUCAGCCUACGAGCAGGACACAGUCGCUGUGGGAGGUAGCAACAAGCAUGGGGUGAUGAAGACCGUGGUGCCUGGUGUUGCCAUUGAGACCUGA
rnacentral:rRNA from 1 species